rnacentral:rRNA from 1 species
AAAGCUCAAAUUUAAAAUCUGGCGGUCUUCGGCCGUCCGAGUUGUAAUUUAGAGAAGUGUUAUCCGUGCUGGACCGUGUACAAGUCUCCUGGAACGGGGCGUCAUAGAGGGUGAGAAUCCCGUAUAUGACACGGACUACCAGUGCUAUGUGAUGCGCUCUCGAAGAGUCGAGUUGUUUGGGAAUGCAGCUCAAAAUGGGUGGUAAAUUCCAUCUAAAGCUAAAUAUUGGCGAGAGACCGAUAGCGCA